AGGUGAAGGUCCCAGCAGAGGGGAUGGAUCGCUAGCGUUGAGUCCUCUCUAACAAUUGCAAUAAAUCCUUCACAAAUGAAUGAAUUUGAGCCGAUUUGUAAGACACUUUGGAUUUGUGUUAUGGUUUUCAUUGCGUCUAGAAACGCGGCUAUAUCAAA